GAGUUUUUCUUCACCCAUGGUCAGGGAGGCGCCAUCGCCCUGGCUUUGGGGCUGGGGCCUCCGGGGAGGUUCCGGUAGGGGCGUUGGAGAGGCCGCUCUUUUUGCAAGGCCCGAGAUGGCGGGCCCUGCGCAGGCCGCCCUAUUCCGCGCCCUCAGGGCGUCAGUAUCCGCCUGAGGCCGGAUACCCACUCUGGGCUCGGAUACCCGCGCUGGGCCCGGAGCAUCCUCGGCGCUGCCCUCCCAGAGCCCCGCAGAGGCUGAGGUGGCGCGGGGGCGGCCCCGGCUCCGCGAGAAGAGGCGGCAGCGAGGGCUGGAGGACCCGGGCUACGGGGCUCCGGGGCGUCUGGCCUGGGUGGGACUGAGCCCAUCCAGGGACUGGGACUCCGGGGUUCUGGUGUAGGUGGAUCCCGGGCAGGCUCAGGACCAAGACCCUCUCCUUCCACCAAGGAGCGCCCAGAGGCCGGCGGGAGCUCCAGGUUCACCUCCUCCUCCUCCAGGAAAUCCCACUUCCAGCUGGAUGUCUGGAUGAACUCCUGAAAGCUGCUGAGUGUCCUGCAGCAGGUGAGCUGUGGCCAGAGCCCAAGGAUGAAGGGGACUCCCUCACUCUGUGACUGUGAAGAGGAAGCCUGAGGUGUAGCAGGCCCAGGCCCCAGAAGUAUGGAAAAAAUGAGGCCAUUUCCAAUCCAGAGGAAGACCUUCUAGAAGAAGUGAUGGGUGGGAGAGUGCUGACAUACUAUGCAAAGCUACUAUUUGGAGUUGGACACGAGUGCAUGUGACCUUGUGCCACAGCGGGAAUGUGAGCUGGAUGACAAAUGGAGAUUUGGACUUGUGAUAAUUGGCCUCUGUGUCAUUGUGUGGAAGACUGACUGGUCCCUUUAUUUCCUGUAGCUUGACUACCACACAAAUUAAUCCACUCAAAUGUUGGCAAGUGGAGCAGAGUCCCAGGACAGUCUGCAAUCUCUACAGGUACAGAAACACCCCCAGUUCAAGGAUCUUCACACCUGGAUUUAGGCCUACACCUGCAACUACCCCAGGCCAGUUAUCCAGGCAGUGACUUUCUGUACAGCUACAGUCACCUCUGGACACCUGCGGAGACUUUAAAAAUUUCCAGAAGGUCAGGAAUUUUUGGAGACCUUUCUUAUGGCUACGUUGCCUGCAAAGGUGAAUCAAUAAGCUUCUGAACUGACUUAGAAAAUGUUGCAGAGACUCUUGUGAACAGAUAGACCCUCUCCUGCCACUCCAGAUAGACGUAUCCGGGUCACACACACCUGAUUUAACAACAUCUCAUUAUCUCAGGCACCAAUUUGAUCUUCUACUACUUUGCAGACAUCUCUUCUGCAAACACCAGACAAACUGAGACAAUGAACUUCCGCAGGACCCAAAGCACCUCUUACUGCAGGAAAGAAGAUCCAGUGAGAUAGUUAGUCCACAAAUGGAAUGUCAAUCCAUAAACACACUUAAGUAACAGAAUAAAUUUAGUAUGAGCGUUUUUAUGUGGGAGCUCUUGAAAUGGUUGCUGCUCAUAUGUCAGAGACAUAUGCAGUUUAAGAAAGGUAGCAGUUCCAAUCCUGGUUUGGCCCAACAGUCACUGCAUUUUUGGUGGGGAAAAGGGAUGUGGGAGGAGAUGGUACAUCUUCAUCUUUUUCUCUGGGUUUUCUGUCAGAAAGGGAUGUUGCUUACUCCAGUGGCAAAAAAUGCCAGUGUCUUCUGCCAGAGUGGGUUACUGAGGGCCAUGGUGGUUCCACCUUGUGGCUGAUACAGAUAGUCCCUUUCUGCUUUUGUUUCUAGCCAAAAAAGAUGUUUCUCGCAUCUCAGGUAUGCAGACUUCAGCAGCUGUUUUUUCUAUAUGGCUAUUUUUUUUUUCUUUCACUCUCUCUUUCUCUCUUUUUUUUUUGUUGGCUUCACUGUGUUGCCAUAGUUUCUUAAAUGGUCCCUUGAACCCUCCCAGAGCUAUUUUGGUUUGUACAUAACUAUCUAUAUAUUUUUUUCUUGGGGGGAGUGUGUAGAGCUAAAGGCUGGUAUAUCCUGCUCCUGCUCCCCGAAAGUGACGUUAUUCCCCCAAGCUAAUAUUUCAGGCUUUCAAUUUAUUCAUGCUUUCAUCUGUUUAAACAUAAGUAGAAAUUACUUUUUCUCUCCACAUUUAGAUUUGAUCUAUCUACUUUAAUUGCUAAUAGUGUCUUAGUCAUAGAAUAGAUUAGUUAGAAAAAAGUGUUUUUGACAUUAUAAAUGAUUCUUUCAAUUUGUGUCUAAAAGUGGAAAAUACUAGAAAGCUUAACAUUUAUUAUUGUAUUCAGACCAGUAUUUCCUCCAGAUGACCUUUAUUACAACAAAGAUAAUUUAAUGAAGAUCUCUCUAAUGGUAAAGCUGAUGGCUUUGUGCUAUUACAAUAUCCUUCAAAUAAAGUGACGAUCUGGUGGAAAGAACAACUAAAGCAAGGAUUAGGAAGAAAACAGUUAAUACCUUCAUUUUGGUCUCACUCUGCAUUAAGAGUUUUCAUUGUGUUAAGGAUUUAUUAUACAUUAAGUAAUUUAAUGUUCAUUUAAUAAUAAAUGGAUCCUAUUAAAUAUGAUUUUUAAAAUUAUAAUCACA
rnacentral:lncRNA from 1 species